UUCCGGUUGAUCCCGCCGGACCUGACUGCUAUCGGAUUGAUACUAAGCCAUGCGAGUCAUUGUAGCAAUACAAGGCAGACGGCUCAGUAACGCGUAGUCAAUCUAACCUAUGGACGGGAAUAACCUCGGGAAACUGAGAAUAAUACCCGAUAGAACACUAUGUCUGGAAUGGUUUGUGUUCCAAAUGAUUUAUCGCCGUAGGAUGGGACGGCGGCCUAUCAGUUUGUUGGUGAGGUAAUGGCCCACCAAGACUAUUACAGGUACGGGCUCUGAGAGGAGUAGCCCGGAGAUGGGUACUGAGACACGGACCCAGGCCCUAUGGGGCGCAGCAGGCGAGAAGACUUUGUAAUGUGCGAAAGCAUGACAAGGUUAAUCCGAGUGGUUUCUGCUAAAGGAACCUUUUGUUAGUCGUAAAUCACUAAUGAAUAANGGGUGGGCAAGUUCUGGUGUCAGCCGCGCUGGUAAAACCAGCACCUCAAGUGGUCAGGAUGAUUAUUGGGCCUAAAGCAUCUCGUAACCGGCUUAGUAAGUUUUCGGUUAAAUCUGUACGCUCAACGUACAGGCUGCCGGGAAUACUGNUAAGCUAUGGAGUGGGAAAGGUAGACNGUACUCGGUAGGAACGGGGUAAAAUCCUUUGAUCUAUUGAUGACCACCUGUGGCGAAUGCGGUCUACCAGGACACGUNCGACGNUGAAGGAUGAAAGCUGGGGGAGCAAACCGGAUUAGAUAUCCGGGUAGUCCCAGCUGUAAACUAU
rnacentral:rRNA from 1 species